UAACGGUAUGAUGUAAUACGUUAUAAAUAAGCGUUAUCUAUUAGUUGCAUACAUAACGGUUGAUUUAACUGUUAUCUAUGAGCGUCUAAAAAUUGUUAUGUAUUAUUUUUUAUAUUUAUUUUUAAAUUUAAUUCAAUUAAUAAAUAAAAAUUACAAAUUUUGAUAUCCUAAUCUACCCAAAUCGCGGUUCCCCCCAAAAUCUCUCCUAAUUUCUUCUCUCUCAUUUUCUUUUCACACACCACGAUAAUCACAGUUUCUUCUCCGGCGACCUCACCGGUUUGCUCCACCUGCUCGCCGCCGUCACAGCGCCAUCUCGGUCCCCUCUCUGUCUCAUCUCUCUUGCAUCCACACAAACAUAGUGCCGCCCCAAAUUUCUACUGGAAAAAAUCCCAAAAAUUUAUACAAAAAGCCCCAAAUUUCUCCUCUGAUUCCGUAGUUAACCGUCGAUUUGAGGUCGCUAGAACCCCACCACCGCCACACGCCGCCAUGGGCGCCGCAGAACCCGUAGUGUUGCAGGGAGGGAACGAGAAAUUGGAGAGAGAGAAUGUGGAGUUGAAGGAUUUGGAAAUGGGGGAGGCCAAUGUUCAUAGGGAAUCAGUGCAGACACAUCCCCAAAUACGUUUCACAUGUCGAGAAGGCAGAGAUUGAGCGCCACAAACCCUCUCAGGCUUGUGAUGGAUAAUGCGACGCGAGUCGCCUCUCCAGCUCGCCCCCCACCGCACCCGUCCCCGGCUCAGCCGCCGUCGCCGCCGCAGCGCGGCUCAUCCUCGCCCCCUCCUCCUUCUCCUCCCAUGGAGCAGCCGCCGCCGUAGCAAACUCGCUCCAUACCCGCCCCACAGUGCACAUGGUGGCAGCGGUGGGGCUGGUGGGGUUCUUAAUAUUUAGGGGCGUGAAAGGGUUGUUGGAGGAAGGCCGAACUCGCCGGAGAGAGAAGCGCAUGUUGAAGUAUUUCCUACCUCAA